rnacentral:rRNA from 1 species
UACGUAGGGUGCAAGCGUUAAUCGGAAUUACUGGGCGUAAAGCGUGCGCAGGCGGUUUUGUAAGCCAGAUGUGAAAUCCCCGGGCUUAACCUGGGAAUGGCAUUUGGGACUGCAAGGCUGGAGUGUGGCAGAGGAGACUGGAAUUCCUGGUGUAGCGGUGAAAUGCGUAGAUAUCAGGAGGAAUACCGAUGGCGAAGGCAGGUCUCUGGGCUGACACUGACGCUCAUGCACGAAAGCGUGGGAGCGAACAAG